rnacentral:ncRNA from 1 species
ACCUCGAUGUCGGCUCACCUUAGCGCGGCGGUGGAGAAGCUGCCAAGCGUUUGGCUGUUCGCCAAUUAAAAAGGUACGCGAGCUGGGUUCAGACCGUUCUGAGACUAAUUUUUUAAAAUUAGUAGAAGAACAGUUU